rnacentral:rRNA from 1 species
UGGGGAAUAUUGGGCAAUGGGCGAAAGCCUGACCCAGCGACGCCGCGUGAAGGAAGAAGGUCUUCGGAUUGUAAACUUAUGUCAGCAGGGAAGAAUCAAGUGACGGUACCUGCAGAGGAAGCCACGGCUAACUACGUGCCAGCAGCCGCGGUAAUACGUAGGUGGCGAGCGUUAUCCGGAAUUACUGGGUGUAAAGGGUGUGUAGGCGGGCUAUUAGGUCAGAUGUGAAAUUCACAGGCUUAACUUGUGAACUGCAUUUGAAACCGUUAGUCUUGAGUGUGGGAGAGGUAAGCGGAAUUCCCAGUGUAGCGGUAAAAUGCGUAGAUAUUGGGAGGAACACCAGUGGCGAAGGCGGCUUACUGGACCACAACUGACGCUGAGACACGAAAGCGUGGGGAGCAAACA